ensembl:lncRNA
AGAAAACAUUAUUGGGUGGGAGUUACGCGUAUUCUGCACAGUUCAUGACAACGCCAACAAUAUGAACUUGGCCAUGGAAAUCUGUGAGGCCUGCCCCGCCACAUUGGUUGCAGCGGACACACAUUACAGCUUGCAGUUAAGGCAGGUUUGGAUUUACCUGUGGUCUCGAAGACCAUUGAUGCUGUGAGGCGUCGUCAGUCACUUCCUUCACUCUUCAGUGGCGACCUGCGCCUUGAUAGCACGUCAGGAGCAACUAUCCAUCAGAGGGAGAAAACUUCAAAGUGACUGUGCUAGAUGGAAUUCCACGUUCGAUAUGUUGGAUGGCUUUUACGAGUGCAAACUGUACUCGCUGACGAAACGGUAACUAAUCGAAAAACUCUGGGUAUAAAGUCUGAUCUGAUUGAACAGCUGCUUCCCAUACUGAGGCCGCUAGCAAAGGCGACAACAGUCGUGUGGAGAGCUACACGUCGGCCUGUCCUUUCUAUAUUCAGUGCUUCUUAAUCUGACAGAAAACACUCUGCGCCCAGCGUGGGUGAUCUCACAGCCACUCAGGCGUUCAAAAAGAUGGUUCGGAAACAGUUGUUAAUGUGGUGUAAACUGGAUUCUGAAGCCGUAGCCAAUUCUCUCCCUAUUAGCGCAUGCAUGUUGGAUUCACGGUUUAAGCAUUUGCUGUUUCUACCAGAGAAAGCCAGAGAGGAUGCCAAAGCCCAUCUUGCCGAUUUAGUGUACGACAACGAGACAAAGCAUUCAGAAACUUCAGGUGAACAGGAAGUUGCCGACUGCAAUGUGACAACCAAUGCAUUGCCCAGUGAGCAUAAAAAACCAAGACUCAAGGCUGAUCUCGAGGAGCUCUUUGGAUGUAACUACAAAAGCUGCAAUCCUACGACAAAGCAGCCAACUACCAAGGAAGAUGAGAUUCAAGAUUAUUUUCAGAUGCCUGACAUUCCCACCAUGGGGAAUCCUCUCAAAUGGUGGGCAUGUAAUGAACACUGGUUUCCUCGAUUAUCCAAGCUGGCUAUAUCAUAUCUAGCUGUCCCUGUCACCAGUACACCAAGUGAAAGAAUUUUUUCCUUGGCCGGCAACACCGUCAUAAGGCAAAGAUCAAGGCUGCAUCCCUCUCACGUCGAUGCGCUUAUAUUUCUGAAUGCAAACCAGCGAUCCAUGAGCUCGACCAAAGACUGUGUGUGAAGAGAGGAUAAUAGUGGUGAUGACUUAUGUUAGUCUAUAAUAUAAACUUUCAAGCCAGUUGCAGUAAGAUUCUAUUCGGUCUUGUUAUUACUAUGGGACAGUCUCAAGCCUCCAGGUUUUCAUCCAAAAUAUCUUAAAUUGUGUUCCGAAAACUAACAGACUUUUACGGGUUUGGAACGACAUGGGGGUAAAAUGAUUAAUGACAAAAUUUUCAUUUUAGGAUGGAGUAUACCUUUAAUAAACCAACUCCAGCUGGUCCAAAAUGCAGCAGCUAGAAUUCUUUCUAGAACCAGUGAGUACAAC